CCUACGGGGAGCUGCAGUGGGGAAUAUUGGGCAAUGGGCGCAAGCCUGACCCAGCAAUGCCGCGUGAAGGAAGAAGGCUUUCGGGUUGUAAACUUCUUUGACAGGGGAAGAGCAGAAGACGGUACCCUGAAAACAAGCCACGGCUAACUACGGGCCAGCAGCCGCGGUAAUACGUAGGUGGCAAGCGUUGUCCGGAUUUACUGGGUGUAAAGGGCGGGUAGCCGGGAAGGCAAGUCAGAUGUGAAAUCUGGAGGCUCACCCUCCAAAUUGCAUUUGAAACUGUUUUUCUUGAGUACGGGAGAGGCAGGCGGAAUUCCUUGUGUAGUGGUGAAAUGCGUCGAUAUAAGGAGGAACACCAGUGGCGCAGGCGGUCUGCUGGACAGCAACUGACGGUGAGGCGCGAAUGCGUGGGGAGCAAACAGGAUUAGAUACCCGAGUAGUC
rnacentral:rRNA from 1 species